CACCACUCUGACUCUGGCCUUUGCCUUUUGCCGAGGCUGCUCCCUGCCCCGUAGUGAGGACAGCUGUGUGGCUAGGGGCCCGUCAUGGUGCCACUGCCCACCUCCACCACCCAGCAGUGCUUCCCAGUCUAUCACCUGCCAUCCGCCCCAUCUAUAAGCUGGCAGCUGCUGCUCUAGCCUCAGGUGAGGAACAGCCAGGAGCUGCUGGCAUGAGGCUCUGGGGCUCAGGUGGGUCUGGUGCUUCUGUGGGGAGGGAGGCAAAGAAAGUUUACUCCCACCUUGACCUGGCCUGCACCGGGGGCAUCUGGGGCCAUGCAGGUGGCAGAUGUUGGGUAGAGGCUGUUGAGUUUAAGUUUUCCUCCACAAUGACACCUGCUCCUGGGCCAGGCUGGGCUGGCAUCCUCUUCUGCUCUUCCCAUCACUGACCCCAGGGGCCCAUCUGCAAAAUGGAAACCACAAGCUGAACUUGCCUACUUUGCCAAGUUGAUGAUGGCUGCAGUGAAACGUGCCUGAUGCACGUGGAGAGCCAGCAUCACCUGGGGCUCUCUUGCUGUUGGGGUUCUCUGCCCCUGGCCCCAAGCCCCAUUGGCCAUCAGCGGCAGAAGCCUGGCAUCGAUGGAGAGGAAGGUGACGUCAUCUGACUUACAGCAGGAGGACACUGAGGAGCAAAGCAGCUAGACAACGGCAGUGAGCUUGGUCUCGCUGAGGACGAUAUUGGCCGUGACGAAAAUGAAGCAGGAGAAAGCCCAGAGCAGCACGAAGCCCACCCAGAAGGUGUGGCGGAAAGGGGACCUGUGCUUGUUGCUGACCCCACAGCCAAAGGCCAGCUGGGUGUCCCUGCGGCAGUGGUACACCAGGAAGGCGGGGAUGACGUACUGGAUGCCGGUGCCCGCGUAGGCCCCUGUGAUGCCCACCAGGGACUCCAGGUCGUGGGUGCAGAAGGCCACCAGCACAGGCGGCACCAGGGUGAUGGUGGGAAACACGACGCGGUCCACCACCCACGGGUAUGUGCCGCCCUCGCGGUGGAAGAGUGUCUUCCAGUUGUUGCGCAGGGUCACGGCAAUGAUGGGGAAGUUGGUGCUGA
rnacentral:lncRNA from 1 species